rnacentral:rRNA from 1 species
ACACGACUACAUUAGAUACCCCUGUAGUCCUAGCCGUAAACGAUACUCGCUAGGUGUCGGCCACGGUGCGACCGUUGUCGGUGCCGUAGGGAAACCGUGAAACGUGCCGCCUGGGAAGUACGGUCGCAAGGCUGAAACUUAAAGGAAUUGGCGGGGAGCACCACAACAGGUGGAGCCUGCGGUUUAAUUGGAUUCAACGCCGGACAUCUCACCGGAUAAGACAGCUGAAUGAUUGUCAAUCUGAAGGUUUUACAUGACUAGCUG